rnacentral:rRNA from 1 species
GAUGAACGCUGGCGGCGUGCCUAGUACAUGCAAGUCGAGCGAACAGACGAGGAGCUUGCUCCUCUGACGUUAGCGGCGGACGGGUGAGUAACACGUGGAUAACCUACCUAUAAGACUGGGAUAACUUCGGGAAACCGGAGCUAAUACCGGAUAAUAUAUUGAACCGCAUGGUUCAAUAGUGAAAGACGGUUUUGCUGUCACUUAUAGAUGGAUCCGCGCCGCAUUAGCUAGUUGGUAAGGUAACGGCUUACCAAGGCAACGAUGCGUAGCCGACCUGAGAGGGUGAUCGGCCACACUGGAACUGAGACACGGUCCAGACUCCUACGGGAGGCAGCAGUAGGGAAUCUUCCGCAAAGGGCGAAAGCCUGACGGAGCAACGCCGCGUGAGUGAUGAAGGUCUUCGGAUCGUAAAACUCUGUUAUUAGGGAAGAACAAAUGUGUAAGUAACUAUGCACGUCUUGACGGUACCUAAUCAGAAAGCCACGGCUAACUACGUG